GGCCUCGCAGCGAGAGAUUUAGAAAAGCUUGCUUUUCAAAUCUUAGCGGCGGACGGGUGAGUAACACGUGGGCAACCUGCCCUUGAGACGGGGAUAACUCCGGGAAACCGGAGCUAAUACCGGAUAACACAUAUCUUCGCAUGAGGAUAUGUUAGAAGGUGGCUUUUAGCUACCACUCAAGGAUGGGCCCGCGGCGCAUUAGCUAGUUGGUGAGGUAACGGCUCACCAAGGCGACGAUGCGUAGCCGACCUGAGAGGGUGAUCGGCCACACUGGGACUGAGACACGGCCCAGACUCCUACGGGAGGCAGCAGUAGGGAAUCUUCCGCAAUGGACGAAAGUCUGACGGAGCAACGCCGCGUGAGUGAUGAAGGUUUUCGGAUCGUAAAGCUCUGUUGUUAGGGAAGAACAAGUACCUGUUAAAUAAGCAGGUACCUUGACGGUACCUAACCAGAAAGCCACGGCUAACUACGUGCCAGCAGCCGCGGUAAUACGUAGGUGGCAAGCGUUGUCCGGAAUUAUUGGGCGUAAAGCGCGCGCAGGCGGUUCCUUAAGUCUGAUGUGAAAGCCCACGGCUCAACCGUGGAGGGUCAUUGGAAACUGGGGAACUUGAGUGCAGAAGAGGAGAGCGGAAUUCCACGUGUAGCGGUGAAAUGCGUAGAGAUGUGGAGGAACACCAGUGGCGAAGGCGGCUCUCUGGUCUGUAACUGACGCUGAGGCGCGAAAGCGUGGGGAGCGAACAGGAUUAGAUACCCUGGUAGUCCACGCCGUAAACGAUGAGUGCUAAGUGUUAGAGGGUUUCCGCCCUUUAGUGCUGCAGCAAACGCAUUAAAGCACUCCGCCCUGGGGGAAGUACGGGUCGCAAGAACUGAAAACUUCAAAAGGGAAAUUUGAACCG
rnacentral:rRNA from 2 species